CUGUGGUUUCCUCCAGACUCCCCUCUGCAAACUACAGAGAUUAAGAUUGUGGAGCUGCAGGUUGUCAGAGAUCAGCUGUGAAUAUCUGGUUGCAGCUCUGAAGUCCAAGCCGUCCUAUCUGACAGAACUGGACCUGAGAGAGAACAACCUGAAGGAGUCAGAUGUUCAGCAGCUGCAGGAUCUUGUAAAGAGUCCAGACUACAAACUGGAAUCUGUGAGGUGGAUGAGGUGAUGAUCUUAGUAGAGGAGAGAAGCUGAGCUGUCCUGAUGAUCCAGAGGUUGAAGCUGCAGCAGUUUGAGUUUAAAGAGACUCUGACUGGAUCCUGAUGAUGAACUCUGACCUUAGAGAUGUUGAUCCUAUUUAUCUGAUCAUGUCUGUCAUUUAGUGUGUGAUAUUGUUUGUCUCUUAGUACAAAUGAGGAAAUGAAAUGAAAGCUAAGCUGCAUUUAGUGGCUCCAUGUAGUUUGUAGUGAUCUGAAUCUGAUGAAACUGGAAAGUUGAUAUUUUUUCUCUCUGGUUCAUAUUCAGCCUGUAACCAAGAAAUCUGAAAUAAAGCUCAACUCUAAAGUUU